AAUCAACGCUGGCGGCGUGCCUAACACAUGCAAGUCGGACGAGAAAGUGGGGGCAACCCUGCGAGUACAGUGGCAGACGGGUGAGUAACACGUGAGCAACCUACCCUUGAGUGGGGAAUAACACCGCGAAAGCGGUGCUAAUACCGCAUAAAAUCUUCGGGUCGCAUGACGUGGAGAUCAAAAGCGCAAGUUGCUUGAGGAGGGGUGCGCGGCUGAUUAGCUAGUUGGUGAGGUAACGGCCCACCAAGGCAACGACCAGUAGCCGGCCUGAGAGGGCGAACGGCCACACUGGAACUGGGACACGGUCCAGACUCCUACGGGAGGCAGCAGUGGGGAAUUUUGCGCAAUGGGCGAAAGCCUGACGCAGCAACGCCGCGUGGAGGAUGAAGGCCUUCGGGUCGUAAACUCCUGUCGAUGGGGACGAAGUUCUCGCAAGAGGAUUGACUGUACCCGUUGAGGAAGCCACGGCUAACUCCGUGCCAGC
rnacentral:rRNA from 1 species